CCGCCUCGUGAGUCGACGCGUGGCGACGGCGAUGGGGUCGCGGGGCUGCGUGGCGCUGCGGCUCGGGGUGCUGCUGUGGCGCCGGGCCUUCUCCCCGGGAGCGUGGCCCGCGGCGACCGCGGGGCUCAGGCUUCGGCUGCUGUCCGUGGGGCGGCUUCCGGUGGGACCGACGCUCGGCAAGGUCUGCCCGGCCCCCGACCGAGCGCGCGGCCUGCACGGCGGGCCGGGCCUGGAGGAGCGGGCGGAGGGAACAGCCGGCGAGGGGCGCCCGGAGUCAGGCACCGGAGAUCAUACUGGUCCCAAGUUUGACAUCGAUAUGCUGGUUUCACUUCUGAGGCAAGAAAAUGCCAGAGACAUUUGUGUCAUCAAGGUUCCUCCAGAAAUGAAAUAUACAGAUUACUUUGUAAUUGGUAGUGGAACUUCUACUCGACACUUACAUGCCAUGGCCUACUACAUUGUGAAAAUGUACAAAUACCUGAAACGUAAAAGUGAGCCUCAUGUUAAGAUCGAAGGGAAGGACACAGAUGACUGGCUCUGUGUGGACUUUGGCAGCAUGGUGAUUCAUUUGAUGCUUCCAGAAACCAGAGAAACGUAUGAAUUAGAGAAAUUAUGGACCCUUCGUUCUUAUGAUGACCAGUUAGCUCAGAUAGCACCUGAGACCUUACCUGAAGACUUCAUUCUUGGAAUAGAAGAUGACACUUCAUCUCUGGCUCCUGUGGAGUUUAAAUGUGAAUAAAAUGGAGAAUAAGCCUGAAACACAGUCUGGACCUGGUGCUUUGGGGAGACUUGUAGCCAAGUAGCCAGUUGUCUAGUUUUAUUGAGGUAUGAGAAGAGCAAGAAUCUGGCCCAUAAAAUCUUCUCCUGAAAAUAUCUAACUAUCUAUCGGAAGGCCUGUUCUGCCAGUUUUUCCCAGAGCGCCUCAUUCCUGUUCUCCACUCUGAACUCCUUUUCAGGGGGUGUUGAAGGUCAGCAGCUGCAGCGGCUCGUGAUUUAAUCUUUGUAGAGGCAGACAGCAAGUGCCAAUGGUAUCUGGAAAAUGAAGCUGCAUUUGGGGCACGUUACAGAUGAGGAAUGAUCCAUAUGUGGAGAAGCCAGGUUAUGGAUUUCCCGAAAAGAAGACAUCCAUUCAUUUGUUACCUGUGCACACACUCCAGAGCACAUACCUUGAACUGAGCCUCCGGUGGCCCAGUGAUAAUCACCAUCCUCACUUUAGCAUCUGGUGCUUCAGCUGGAGCGAUCUGUAACAGACCCAGUAACGGGUUAUGACACUUUCAGGUGCCACCAAUAGAAAUGCUACACCAACCAGCCUGUCAUUUGCACAUGACUUACUGAAAUGUAGAAUGAAAGCCUUCUGGAAGGUAGUUACAUGAAGCAGUGAUUAAUGUGGAUUCAUUAGUUACGGCUCCUGCCGUAUACUGUGUACUUACACUGUGCCUGGCCCUAAUGUAAAAGUCCAGAUGCAGCCUCUACCUAAUCCUCACCAUUUCCUGACGAGGUACUGCCUCAUGGAGAGGCCAAAGGCUAGAGAAGGUGAGUCACCUGGCCCAUGAUCACACAGUCCAGUGAAGCUGGAGGGAGAGCUGGGUCUGGCUCCACCAUCACAUUCCUUGUCACUACACCAGUGGGUGCUCAAAGGGUGGUUCUUGGCCCACGCGCAUCACAACACCCUGGGCCUCCUGUAUGUGCAAGAAACUGCUAGGUUCCCAGUCUAAGCCUAUCGGUACAUUCCCUCAAAAUACACUCGCUGGACUGACAUAUGGAAUAAACUAACAUUAAUUUGGCAGAAGAAAAGUAAACUCAGACUCUUCUGUUUUGGCAGAGCGUAUGAAAUGACACAAAAAGCCUAGGCUAGGGAAUUGUUGCAGAGACUGUUGAAGGGAGAGGAAACCAGCAUUCCCUUAGUAAGAAAGGAUUUGGGGAGUUGGCUGGUAGGAAGUGUUUUAAAAGAAAAAAAUUUGCUAGAUAUUUGCUGUGCAAGAAGCAAUUCCCUAUAGUAAAUAAUGAGAACAGGAAGCAAAAAAUACAAUAAAAGCCAUCCCAACUACCACUCAGUAUGAUCACUGUCAAUUACUUAUAGUCUAGUAGGCCCUUCUCCACACCUUCAUAAUCAAAACAAUGUUUUUUACUUUUAAUAGACUCAUGCUUCCUCCCUCAAAAUAAAGCUAACAUUUCUGUUACUUAGACCCAAAUUAAUACUAUUGCUACUUUAUUGCUGGGCACUAAUUGUGAGUCUGUAAAACAAGCCAAUAAUUACUUCCUUUUAGACCACACUCUUAGGAUUAUUCACAGGAAACCCCAAAAAGAAGGUAUCAUUCUUCAUCUUUCUGACUAAGGUUUCCUUUUUUUAAAAAGGAUCUUUGUCAACACUGGUGAUAGAGGGCUGGGGCUGAGGACACUUGUACACUGAGGUUAGGAGUACAAAUUGCUACAAUCUCUCAAAAGCCUGAAAAAAGCACAUGCCCUGUGCCUCACCAAACCCACUUUUGUAGACUUACGUUAAAGGAUAAGGUUAUAUAUGACAAUUUGACCAAAAGAACUUUGUCUACCCCUGUGCAGGUUAAAUUAGGAACAAUCUUAAUGUCCAGUAAGUUAACACAAAUGAUUAUUAUUUGGUAAUACCAAAUAUAUGCCUAUUAAAGUAAGUACAUAUAUGGAAAUUUACAUUAUGGAAAUGUAGCAAAGUGUUAGGAGUGCUGAUGAAUCUUUCAGAUUAUGCAUGUUUCAGACUUUUUGGAAACAAAAAUAUUUUAACCUCAUCAUAAAACCUCCAUUAAAGCCAGAAAGAAAAAGAGCCAAACGUCUAAAUACCCAGUUCUUCUAGUUCAUGAAAUGUUCGUCGCAGUUUUUCCAAAACAAAGCUGCUAGGUUCUUUUUGCAUGUGUGAGCAUGUUUUACAGAUUAACUCAGUAAUCAGGAAACUAACAGGAUAGUAAAGUUAGUUCACCCCUUGGUCUUUUAUCAUGUCUUUUCCUUUACCCAUUUGUUUAUUUUGGCUGCAUUUUCUGCUCACGUUAUUUUAUCUUUUGCUACAAGAGAGAAUAUGAGGGCUUUCCUGUGUGUUUUGCUUUUUUAUUAACUGUGUAGUUUACAUGCAGUAACGCUCACUCCUUUGGUACCAAAUACAUAGUUGUAAAUACCACCACAAUCAACAUAAAAACAGCUUCUGUCACUCAAAAUUUCCUCAUGCUGCCUUUGUUUUCAACCCCUCCACCUCCAACUCCUAGCAACCACUGAUUUUUUUUUCUCAAUUUCCAUAGUUCUCUUUUCCAGAAUUUUCAUAUAAGUGGAAUCAUACAGUAUGUGGCCUUUUGAGUCUUCUUUCUCUUAGCAUAAUACAUGUGAUUCACUCAAGUUGUUUUAUGUAUCAAUAGUUCCCUCCUUUUUACUGCUAAGUAAUUAUUAUAUAGACGGGCCACAGUUUAUGCAUUUGCCACUGAUGAACAUUUGCUUCUUCCCCAUUUCCCAGUUAUAAAUAAAGAUACUAUAAACAUUUGA